rnacentral:rRNA from 1 species
GAUGAACGCUGGCGGCGUGCCUAAUACAUGCGAGUCGAGCGAACAGACGAGGAGCUUGCUCCUCUGACGUUAGCGGCGGACGGGUGAGUAACACGUGGAUAACCUACCUAUAAGACUGGGAUAACUUCGGGAAACCGGAGCUAAUACCGGAUAAUAUAUUGAACCGCAUGGUUCAAUAGUGAAAGACGGUUUUGCUGUCACUUAUAGAUGGAUCCGCGCCGCAUUAGCUAGUUGGUAAGGUAACGGCUUACCAAGGCGACGAUGCGUAGCCGACCUGAGAGGGUGAUCGGCCACACUGGAACUGAGACACGGUCCAGACUCCUACGGGAGGCAGCAGUAGGGAAUCUUCCGCAAUGCGCGAAAGCCUGACGGAGCAACGCCGCGUGAGUGAUGAAGGUCUUCGGAUCGUAAAACUCUGUUAUUAGGGAAGAACAAAUGUGUAAGUAACUAUGCACGUCUUGACGGUACCUAAUCAGAAAGCCACGGCUAACUACGUG